rnacentral:rRNA from 1 species
GACAGAGGGUGCAAACGUUGCUCGGAAUCACUGGGCGUAAAGGGCGCGUAGGCGGCGGGUCAAGUCGAGUGUGAAAGCCCCGGGCUUAACCUGGGAACUGCGAUGGAAACUAGCGAGCUGGAGUGUGGCAGAGGGGGGUGGAAUUCCGCGUGUAGCAGUGAAAUGCGUAGAGAUGCGGAGGAACACCGAUGGCGAAGGCAGCCCCCUGGGCUAACACUGACGCUCAGGCACGAAAGCGUGGGGAGCAAACAGG